rnacentral:rRNA from 1 species
AUUGAACGCUGGCGGCAUGCCUUACACAUGCAAGUCGAACGGUAACAGGUCUUCGGAUGCUGACGAGUGGCGAACGGGUGAGUAAUACAUCGGAACGUGCCUAGUAGUGGGGGAUAACUACUCGAAAGAGUGGCUAAUACCGCAUGAGAUCUACGGAUGAAAGCAGGGGAUCGCAAGACCUUGUGCUACUAGAGCGGCCGAUGGCAGAUUAGGUAGUUGGUGGGAUAAAAGCUUACCAAGCCGACGAUCUGUAGCUGGUCUGAGAGGACGAUCAGCCACGCUGGGACUGAGACACGGCCCAGACUCCGAUGGGGGGCAGCAGUGGGGAAUUUUGGACAAUGGGCGAAAGCCUGAUCCAGCAAUGCCGCGUGCAGGAUGAAGGCCUUCGGGUUGUAAACUGCUUUUGUACGGAACGAAAAGCCCCGGGUUAAUACCCUGGGGUCAUGACGGUACCGUAAGAAUAAGCACCGGCUAACUACGUGCCAGCCGCCGCCGUAA